UUGUUUCGUUCUUUUCUUCUUUGCAUAUGAUUUAGAUGAAGAUUGCAAGAUUGUUUCCAGGAUUAGGCAAAGAUCGUCGUGGACAUGGAUGGAUUCAAGCAUCUCGAUCUCCAGCAGUGUGAGAAAUUUAAGGAAUUUGGAGCACCUGAGUUUCAUCAUGACUGCGCGAAGGAACUCGAAAUUCAUAGUGAGUUCAAAGUCUGCUAGGUGGCCCUAUUCAUAACACGUGUGAAAGGUAAGUGUGCAAAUAGACCCACAUUAAGGUGCAAUUAAUUAAGUAAGGUGAUGCAUUCUUGCAUGCAAAACUGCUCCUUUUGGACCCACUUUGGCCAUCCUCAUAACCCUAGCGAAAUCUACCCUCGUAGGACCAUGAUUCUACUAUGAAUUUCGUGUUCCAUCCUGCAGCCAUGGCUGAUAGCAACUCUGGUACCCCCAAUUCCUUUAAUUUCUCACACUGCAAAAACAACAAUCAAAGGCCAAGAAUAUCAAUUCAUCAUAUUGAAAUUCAACCGGAAGAUAUAUCCAUCCAUUUGUGUCGAUGUAUGCUUUCAAUGCUGAUUCUGGACACCAAACGAGCUUCAUGGUGUGUGACCGUGUGUGAGUGAGUCUUUCUUUUUAUUUCUUUCUCUCUAGCUGUGAACAGUUAUAUAUCUUCACUUUCUGAGUUUUUUUGGAUAUCGUGUGAGGGGGUGAUUAAUAGAGAUAGUGAGGGGACACUUUGAUGUACCGGGUAGAGUUAGGAAUAUAUAUAUAUAUAUAUAUAUAUAAAAGGCAGCUUGAUUUCUUAGUUUUUUUCUUCUCAAUAUGCAACUUAAAAAAAAAUUAGUUGUGUUUAUUAGUUGUGGCCCAUAAGGAAAUAUUUAUCGAGGAACAAGAAAGGAG